rnacentral:snRNA from 1 species
ACCCGUUAUAAUAUUUUUUCAUG